rnacentral:rRNA from 1 species
UACGUAGGUGGCGAGCGUUGUCCGGAUUUACUGGGCGUAAAGGGCGUGCAGGCGGUUUGUUAAGUGCAGGGUGAAAGCUCCCGGCUCAACUGGGAGAGGUCCUUGCAUACUGGCGAACUCGAGGGAGGCAGAGGAAAGUGGAAUUCCCGGUGUAGUGGUGAUAUGCGUAGAUAUCGGGAGGAACACCUGUGGCGAAGGCGGCUCUCUGGGACGGUACUGACGCUGAGACGCGAAAGCGUGGGGAGCGAACAGG